GUGCCCGUGGCCUAAUGGAUAGGGCUCCAGAUUGCGGAUCUGGCGGUUGUGGGUUCGAAUCCCGCCGGGCACG
rnacentral:tRNA from 1 species